AUUGAACGCUGGCGGCAGGCCUAACACAUGCAAGUCGAGCGGAAACGACACUAACAAUCCUUCGGGUGCGUUAAUGGGCGUCGAGCGGCGGACGGGUGAGUAAUGCCUAGGAAAUUGCCUUGAUGUGGGGGAUAACCAUUGGAAACGAUGGCUAAUACCGCAUAAUGCCUACGGGCCAAAGAGGGGGACCUUCGGGCCUCUCGCGUCAAGAUAUGCCUAGGUGGGAUUAGCUAGUUGGUGAGGUAAUGGCUCACCAAGGCGACGAUCCCUAGCUGGUCUGAGAGGAUGAUCAGCCACACUGGAACUGAGACACGGUCCAGACUCCUACGGGAGGCAGCAGUGGGGAAUAUUGCACAAUGGGCGAAAGCCUGAUGCAGCCAUGCCGCGUGUAUGAAGAAGGCCUUCGGGUUGUAAGUACUUUCUAGUCGUGAGGAAGGCGAAUAUAGUUAAUAG
rnacentral:rRNA from 1 species